rnacentral:rRNA from 1 species
UGUAUAAAGUGGCGAACGGCUGAGUAACACGUGGGCAACCUGCCCUUUGCACUGGGAUAGCCCCGGGAAACCGAGGUUAAUACCGGAUACUCCAUAUUUGUCGCAUGGCGAAUAUGGGAAAGCUCCGGCGGCAAAGGAUGGGCCCGCGGCCUGUUAGCUAGUUGGUGGGGUAGUGGCCUACCAAGGCAAUGAUGGGUAGCCGGGUUGAGAGACCGACCGGCCAGAUUGGGACUGAGACACGGCCCAGACUCCUACGGGAGGCAGCAGCC